GCAGGGUUUAGCUCAGGAGAGUUAAUGGAGGUAGUCAACCCAAACAACCUACAUCUAUUCACACACUUUAUAUACAGCCCUUCAUAUACACAUUAAACACAGUUGCACAUACAAAAAUUACAUAUGCAGUUACAUAUAUGCAUUUGUAAGAAAUCUGCACUUAAAGGGUAACUCCAAGUACCAUGACCACUUCUGGGAUACGAAGUGGUCAUGGUGUCUGGAACCUGUAUGUGCAGCAUUUCGCUAUGAAAUGGACUUGGAGCUAGAUCAAAGUGAGUUUUAGCUUUAUUUCUUUUUAUUUUGGGACAGAGGAGCACAGC